ensembl:snRNA U7 U7 small nuclear RNA
AAGAUUUGCUCUUUAGAUAUUUCUCUAGAAGGCUUCUCAUAAUGCGAAGCCCCC